GAAAUGCGAUAAGUAGUGUGAAUCGCAGAAUUCAGUGAAUCAUCGAAUCUUUGAACGCACAUUGCGCCCUUUGGUAUUCCAAAGGGCAUGCCUGUUCGAGCGUCAUUUGUACCCUCAAGCUUUGCUUGGUGUUGGGCGUCUUGUCUCUAGCUUUGCUGGAGACUCGCCUUAAAGUAAUUGGCAGCCGGCCUACUGGUUUCGGAGCGCAGCACAAGUCGCACUCUCUAUCAGCAAAGGUCUAGCAUCCAUUAAGCCUUUUUUCAACUUUUGACCUCGGAUCAGGUAGGGAUACCCGCUGAACUUAAGC
rnacentral:misc_RNA from 1 species